AAAAAAACGAGUAAAUGACAUCCAAAAGCACUUUGCACCAUAACCACUACUAUGAGCAUUAGAGGUGAUGGUGCUUAGACUGCUGCUUUAAUAGUGCACAAAAUGAUUAUAUCAGUCAGGGGAGUACCUAGAGCUUUUGGCACCCGGGGCGGAUCCUAAAUUUGUCCACCCCCCUCGCUCCCAACUUUAAAAUGUAAAAAAAAACCCCACAAAAUAUUCUAAUGUAUUUAGCACUCAGUAAUGUUUGUGUUGUGUAUUUUUUAACUGAGCAGUGUUUGUGUCUUUGAAUUUAAGCAUCUUAUGGUAUGGAGUAUGUGUGAG